rnacentral:rRNA from 1 species
CUAAGAGCGAAUGGUGGAUGCCUUGACUGGUAAAGGCGAUGAAGGACGUACUAGACUGCGAUAAGCUACGGGGAGCUGUCAAGAAGCUUUGAUCCGUAGAUUUCCGAAUGGGGCAACCCAAUGUAUAGAGAUAUACAUUACCUAUAUAGGAGCGAACGAGGGGAAUUGAAACAUCUUAGUACCCUCAGGAAAAGAAAUCAAUAGAGAUUGCGUCAGUAGCGGCGAGCGAAAGCGCAAGAGGGCAAACCCAGUGCUUGCACUGGGGGUUGUAGGACUGCAAUGUGCAAGAGGUGAGUUUAGCAGAACAUUCUGGAAAGUAUAGCCAUAGAGGGUGAUAGUCCCGUAUGCGAAAAACAAACCUUAGCUAGCAGUAUCCUGAGUAGGGCGGGACACGAGAAAUCCUGUCUGAAGCUGGGUCGACCACGAUCCAACCCUAAAUACUAAUACCAGAUCGAUAGUGCACAAGUACCGUGAGGGAAAGGUGAAAAGAACUGAGGUGAUCAGAGUGAAAUAGAACCUGAAACCAUUUGCUUACAAUCAUUCAGAGCACUAUGUAGCAAUACAGUGUGAUGGACUGCCUUUUGCAUAAUGAGCCUGCGAGUUGUGGUGUCUGGCAAGGUUAAGCAAACGCGAAGCCGUAGCGAAAGCGAGUCUGAAUAGGGCGCUUAGUCAGAUGCUGCAGACCCGAAACGAAGUGAUCUAUCCAUGAGCAAGUUGAAGCUAGUGUAAGAACUAGUGGAGGACUGAACCCAUAGGCGUUGAAAAGCCCCGGGAUGACUUGUGGAUAGGGGUGAAAGGCCAAUCAAACUUCGUGAUAGCUGGUUCUCUCCGAAAUAUAUUUAGGUAUAGCGUUGUGUCGUAAUAUAAGGGGGUAGAGCACUGAAUGGGCUAGGGCAUACACCAAUGUACCAAACCCUAUCAAACUCCGAAUACCUUAUAUGUAAUCACAGCAGUCAGGCGGCGAGUGAUAAAAUCCGUCGUCAAGAGGGAAACAACCCAGACUACCAGCUAAGGUCCCUAAAUCUUACUUAAGUGGAAAACGAUGUGAAGUUACUUAAACAACCAGGAGGUUGGCUUAGAAGCAGCCAUCCUUUAAAGAAAGCGUAAUAGCUCACUGGUCUAGUGAUUUUGCGCGGAAAAUAUAACGGGGCUAAAGUAAGUACCGAAGCUGUAGACUUGACUUUGUCAAGUGGUAGGAGAGCGUUCUAUUUGCGCCGAAGGUAUACCGGUAAGGAGUGCUGGAGCGAAUAGAAGUGAGCAUGCAGGCAUGAGUAGCGAUAAUUAAUGUGAGAAUCAUUAACGCCGUAAACCCAAGGUUUCCUACGCGAUGCUCGUCAUCGUAGGGUUAGUCGGGUCCUAAGUCGAGUCCGAAAGGGGUAGACGAUGGCAAAUUGGUUAAUAUUCCAAUACCAACAUUAGUGUGCGAUGGAAGGACGCUUAGGGCUAAGGGGGCUAGCGGAUGGAAGUGCUAGUCUAAGGUCGUAGGUGCUUAUACAGGCAAAUCCGUAUAAGAAUACACCGAGAACUGAAAGGCUUUUUGAAGUCUUCGGAUGGAUAGAAGAACCCCUGAUGCCGUCGAGCCAAGAAAAGUUUCUAAGUUUAGCUAAUGUUGCCCGUACCGUAAACCGACACAGGUGGGUGGGAUGAGUAUUCUAAGGCGCGUGGAAGAACUCUCUUUAAGGAACUCUGCAAAAUAGCACCGUAUCUUCGGUAUAAGGUGUGGUUCGCUUCGUAUUAGGAUUUACUCCGAAAGCGAAGAAACUUACAACAAAGAGUCCCUCCCGACUGUUUACCAAAAACACAGCACUCUGCUAACUCGUAAGAGGAUGUAUAGGGUGUGACGCCUGCCCGGUGCUCGAAGGUUAAUUGAUGGGGUUAGCAUUAGCGAAGCUCUUGAUCGAAGCCCGAGUAAACGGCGGCCGUAACUAUAACGGUCCUAAGGUAGCGAAAUUCCUUGUCGGUUAAAUACCGACCUGCAUGAAUGGCGUAACGAGAUGGGAGCUGUCUCAAAGAGGGAUCCAGUGAAAUUGUAGUGGAGGUGAAAAUUCCUCCUACCCGCGGCAAGACGGAAAGACCCCGUGGACCUUUACUACAGCUUGACACUGCUAUUUGGAUAAGAAUGUGCAGGAUAGGUGGGAGGCUUUGAGUAUAUGACGCCAGUUGUAUAUGAGCCAUUGUUGAGAUACCACUCUUUCUUAUUUGGGUAGCUAACCAGCUUGAGUUAUCCUCAAGUGGGACAAUGUCUGGUGGGUAGUUUGACUGGGGCGGUCGCCUCCCAAAUAAUAACGGAGGCUUACAAAGGUUGGCUCAGAACGGUUGGAAAUCGUUCGUAGAGUAUAAAGGUAUAAGCCAGCUUAACUGCAAGACAUACAAGUCAAGCAGAGACGAAAGUCGGUCUUAGUGAUCCGGUGGUUCUGUGUGGAAGGGCCAUCGCUCAAAGGAUAAAAGGUACCCCGGGGAUAACAGGCUGAUCUCCCCCAAGAGCUCACAUCGACGGGGAGGUUUGGCACCUCGAUGUCGGCUCAUCGCAUCCUGGGGCUGGAGCAGGUCCCAAGGGUAUGGCUGUUCGCCAUUUAAAGCGGUACGCGAGCUGGGUUCAGAACGUCGUGAGACAGUUCGGUCCCUAUCUGCCGUGGGCGUAAGAAGAUUGAAGAGAUUUGACCCUAGUACGAGAGGACCGGGUUGAACAAACCACUGGUGUAGCUGUUGUUCUGCCAAGAGCAUCGCAGCGUAGCUAAGUUUGGAAAGGAUAAACGCUGAAAGCAUCUAAGCGUGAAGCCAACUCUAAGAUGAAUCUUCUCUAAGCUCUCUAGAAGACUACUAGUUUGAUAGGCUGGGUGUGUAAUGGAUGAAAGUCCUUUAGCUGACCAGUACUAAUAGAGCGUUUGGCUUAUCUUUA